rnacentral:rRNA from 1 species
CCUACGGGUGGCAGCAGUGGGGAAUAUUGCACAAUGGGGGAAACCCUGAUGCAGCAACGCCGCGUGAGUGAAGAAGUAUCUCGGUAUGUAAAGCUCUAUUAGCAGGGAAGAAAAUGACGGUACCUGACUAAGAAGCCCCGGCUAACUACGUGCCAGCAGCCGCGGUAAUACGGAGGGGGCAAGCGUUAUCCGGAUUUACUGGGUGUUAAGGGAGCGUAGACGGUGUGGCAAGUCUGAAGUGAAAGCCCUGGGCUCAACCCCGGGACUGCUUUGGAAACUGUCAUGCUGGAGUGCUGGAGAGGUAAGCGGAAUUCCUGGUGUAGCGGUGAAAUGCGUAGAUAUUAGGAGGAACACCAGUGGCGAAGGCGGCUUACUGGACAGUAACUGACGUUGAGGCUCGAAAGCGUGGGGAGCAAACAGGAUUAGAUACCCUAGUAGUC